CUCGUGGCCAUACUGGAUCCCUCAUUCACUUCGUCAGACAUGAAGAGUAAACUUGGUAGAGUUUUAAGAGGAACAGAGGGAAAAAGCUGAAACUGGCCAGAGUCUUAUUUAAAGAAGGAGCAAUGGAAUGGUUUCAGGAAAAGAGAAAUGCACAACACCCUCCGACCCUGCAGUCGUCUCUGCAGGAAAUGGAUAGUUAUUGAGAAGCUGCGUGGGGCACAGGACAAUGAAUGGCAUUGAGACACACGAAACUGACAUGAAUACAAUACGCCAAACUCAGUGUGUGAUGUACCACGGAAAGUACCUAAUAAAUGAAGUCCCCACCCCUA